UCCCAUUUUUGGCGCUGAACUCAAUUAUUCGGGGAACCCUAAUACCCGACCACCAAUUCCACACUCUCCCUAAUUUUGAAGCGUCUACAGUCGGCUUCGUUGUAAUCGGGUAGGAGGAUAUUCAAUCCCUAAGUUAAUUCCAGGUAUGUAUGUCGGCGGUGAGCUACCCAGCAACAUAUUUGUAGUCGCUGCACAAUGUGGAGAUGACAAUUAGUUUCGUAAUGCAAUGGUUUCUCUUUGUGGUCAUGUUGUUUGAGUUUUAUACAAUUCGACAUUCUAUUCAGUUCGAUACGUAUGUGUGUUUGUUUAUUUGGAGCAAAAAUUUGGAACAACUCAUAUCAGUCAUGAUGCGUUUAUGUAUUGUUGCUUGACUAAUCUAGUAUAUUGAAAGGUGUUUGUGCUGCCACAAAUACGAAGCAAUACACAUCACACAAACAGCAGUAAUGGGUUCACAACAUCACAGUGGUAAUGACACCGAGGGCAGUCCAUUACCAGAGGGUUGCUCUGAUAUGGUUGCGAACAAAGGAGUAGUUGCAGCUGGCGCUAGACGUUGUUGGAUAUAACGCGAGGAGGCCGUCCUUAUGGCAGCUAUGAAGGAGUUGGCCGCCACUGGUUGGAAGUCGGAUAAUGGAUUCCGUUCGGGGUAUCUAACCGUGCACUGGAGGCACUCAAACGUGAAUUUCCAAAAACUGAUAUAGUUGUUCAUCCUCACAUCAAAUCGAAAAUCACUUCUUGGAAGAAGAAUUACUAUUCGCUUAUGCAGAUACUUGACCGCAGUGGAGUCGGAUUCAAUGCAGAUGGUGAGUACAAGAUAGAUAUCGACGAUGAACAAUGGUCACAAGUUGUCCAGAAGGAUAGCAAUGCCAAGUAUAUGAGGAAUAAGUCGUGGCCUAUGUUGAGCGACUGGAAGGAGAUUUUCGGCAAGGACCGUGCGGAGGGCCUUAAGGGCUGGACACUGGGGAGGCGGUGCAAAAGAUUUAUGGGUCAAAGGUUGUGGUGGGUGAAAGUUCGGCGAUGGAUUCUCCAAUUACUUUAGAGGAACUAUUCCGUGAUGAAGUUUUCCCCAGCGGUGUUAUGCCAGAGAUGGUUGAUGAGUGCACUUCGGCUCCGGCGCAUGGCCGUGCACAUCCGAGGGUACAAAACAAGGCAACGAAGAAGAGGAAGACUGAAGACAAGAUGGAUACUAUCCUUGCUCUUAUGAAUCGCAUCCACGAAGACACUAAUGAGCGGUUGAAGGACAUCUCUAGCCGAAUUGGUUAUGAGUUUGAUCUAAGCACGAAGAGAACCGAAGUGUUCAAUCAGUUGAAAGGGAUGCCUGGACUGACUACCAAGCAACAAUUCUAUGCCGCAAAAAAGUUGGUGAAGGAACCCGAGCUGAUGGAUCUGUUUAGGGGUUUGGAUGUCGUGUCUCGCCCGGCAUUUGUGCUCGAUCUUCUAGAGACAGACGGAAUGAUCUGAAAAGUGUGGAUUCUGUCCUUUUUUUGGCUAUUUUGUAAUAUAUCAUGGUUAAACCUUGAUCCAUGCAACUAAGAAUUUCGGAUGCCCACAUUGCCCUGUAGUUAGACACGCAGCUUUUUGUCUAUUAUCAUAUGCGUGGCAUGGACUACGGUUUUAUAAUU